CUUAAAGGAAUUGACGGGGCCGCACAAGCGGUGGAGCAUGUGGUUAAUUCGAAGCAACGCGAAGAACCUUACCAGGUCUUGACAUCCCGAUGCUAUUUCUAGAGAUAGAAAGUUACUUCGGUACAUCGGUGACAGGUGGUGCAUGGUUGUCGUCAGCUCGUGUCGUGAGAUGUUGGGUUAAGUCCCGCAACGAGCGCAACCCCUAUUGUUAGUUGCCAUCAUUCAGUUGGGCACUCUAGCGAGACUGCCGGUAAUAAACCGGAGGAAGGUGGGGAUGACGUCAAAUCAUCAUGCCCCUUAUGACCUGGGCUACACACGUGCUACAAUGGUUGGUACAACGAGUUGCGAGUCGGUGACGGCGAGCUAAUCUCUUAAAGCCAAUCUCAGUUCGGAUUGUAGGCUGCAACCCGCCUACAUGAAGUCGGAAUCGCUAGUAAUCGCGGAUCAGCACGCCGCGGUGAAUACGUUCCCGGGCCUU
rnacentral:rRNA from 1 species